rnacentral:lncRNA from 1 species
AAAACCCAAUCUACAAUGGGAGUCUGAACUGGGGCCACUUGAGGGGGUCUUGUAGAAGAGGAAAACUUGUGGCGCAAUGGGAUGUCCAGGGACACAGAUAGCCAGGUGCUGGGCCUCAGGAUGGAAUCCAGCCACCCCUGCUGGGUGACACACAGUGACCUUCCUCAGGAGAGUGGAAGCUCUGCAGGUGGGGAUAAUAGGACCUACCUAGCUGGGCUGUUAUGAAGGCUAAACGAGGAAACACUUGUAAAGUUCUCAGAACUGUGCCUCGAACAAGCUUUGCAGAUUUGAUAUAGAAAUCCAGGAGAAAAUUCUAUGAGAAGAGCUCUUACCAUAUAAUGAAGACAAGACUUGAGCAAGACUUUGUAAUUUUCUACUAAUCAAAAUUCAAAGUAUGAGUCUUGACAGAAGCCAAACAAAGCCUCCUGCCUGGAACUCUGGAACUCUUCUCUUUUUGUUCUGAAGCCUUGGACCCAUCUUGCCUUUUGCUAUGAGUAAAGUUUACCGCAGAGGCUUGGUAUCUUAGUUUAGAGUUCACAUUUCUGGUUUUCGAUGGCUGUAGAUCAAUCCUAGUGGAAAACUCCACAAAGUGCAGAGAAAGUUGUCCUUGUGAAGUCACCUUGCAGAGGAGGAAAGCGGUCUCUAAAUAAGAAAUCUAUAUUCCAGUCUGACAGCUCGUACGGCGUGGGGUAUGAAUUUCUCCUCUGAAAGUCUGAUGGCCAUCCUUGUUCUUCCUCAGCAGGGCUGCCUGAGUAUCUUUGAGAAAUGCCCAAGGGUCCUCUUGAGGAAGGGGAUCGUCCAUUGGCACCUGGAGCCUUCCAUGGAAACUGGUUGGCUGGCUCUCCAUUUUACGCUAGAGUCAUCUCAGACAUCAGUUAGCUACCAAGGCAAGUCGUUAACAUGCAUGACAAUGAAUCCAGUCUUGGCAAUCAUCGUAAUUAAGUGUGCACACUGUAUCAGGGUGCUGAUUAAGUGGCUUCAAUUUUAUGGGUAUGAUUCCUAAUGAUCGUUCUUUUUACUGAUUAAGAUGCAUUAAGCCUCAGAGGACAUUGGGGAUUCCUAUGCACUUGGAAGGAGGAGACUGAAGCCACACAGUGUCUGGAAAGGAAAACCCUUGAUUAAUCACCAGAGAAGAGGAAAGGAAUUUUCUAAGGUGUUUUCUAAGCUGAGUUCAUCCCAAAGAUGUCAGAGUGCUAGAAAAGAGAUGACUCCAAACAAGUCCAACCUGACUAUGGCAUUUGAGAGUUGAAUGUGGCAUUGGAGCUUGUUUUGUUUUUGUUUUCCUGAAAAAAUUAACCAAGGGAAAUUUCAAAUUUUUCAGCCUGUCUAAAUACGGACAAAUGUCCCAAGAAGCUAAAAGCACCAGUAUAUGCCACCCUUGGUUCCUGUCCUCAUCCCUAUCCCUGCACAGUGUAGCUUUCACGAUUACCAACCAACACCCAUCAUCUCCUCUAACCAUCACCCAUGGGCAUCCUGCAAGACACAUACAAGAAAAUGACACCGCAUUUCACUUACCUGAAAUCAAUAUAGUACGACUGGAAAAAGAAAUAAAGGUUUAUCCCUUUGUCCUUCUCAUGUUUAAAAUACCCAUGGACUCAUACAUGACCCAGAAAAGGGAGCUCACAGCCAAAUUACAGAGAGGAGCAGAAGUUUGUCUUGGGUUUUGAGUUUUCUGAUGAGUUAAUGGAGGUGUGUGGGAUGUAGGGUAUUUUUAACACUUGAGAAGCCCCCAGCUUUGCUUCAUUCUCUGUCUCUCUCUCUCUGUCAUAAUCACCUCUCUUGCUAAAAGAGAAGCUCACCAUCCCAUAAGACACCAUGCCAGAAGCAGGGAUGUCCUCACCCAUCACCACCUCCUCUCUAAUCUCACUGCCCCACUUCCCCUCCAUAACCUGCUCCUCCUCCCCUCCUCUCCCGUCCCCUCCGCUCCGCUCCCUUCCCUUCCCCUUCCCUCUCCUCCCAUCCUCUUCCUCACUGUCUUUCUAGCAUAUCCACUUCUCUAUCCCCAUUGAUGUGACUUUAGCAGGAUCCUCAUUCACAACUUCAGCUAUUGCAUUUUCUCCCAACUGGGCUCCUGCUUCUUUUCUUAUGGGAUCAUAAUCCCUCCUUCAUUCAGCAACCAAGAUGAAUUUUAUGUUGUACAAAUAUGGUUAUAUUCACUCCUUGUUUAAAGUAAAUGCCUCUUAAUUUCCUGGGUAUAAAGCAAAAAUACAUUAGCUUAGCUUAGAAGUCUUCCAUGGUCAGCAUCUCUCUGCCCCCAGCACUCUCUGACUUCCAGCCAUAGAGACAUUCCUGCAAUGUCCCCAUAUACUAUACCUUCUUGUGUCCCCAUGCAUUGGACACAGAUAGGGCUCCCCAUUGCUCUUAGAAUAAAUGUUCAUGUACCUCUACUUUGUGGCACUUAAACUACAGCUGUGCGUUUUUACACUUACCUGUGCAUGUGUUUUGCUUCCUUGACUUUCUGUAGACUCAAGAGGGCCGCAGUCUUGUAUUGGUGGUGUUUGUUGGUUUGAGUCGUUCCUUACUAUGUUAUCCCCAAAAUUAGCACAACAUCUGGCCUAUAGUGGAAGCUCAGUAAGUAAAUGUUUAAGGAAUUAAUAAAUUUUAGCAUCUCUUGAGACUUUUAUUGAGCUUGUAAUGCAUAGUUAUAGCAUAAAUGGUUGACGAAUGAAAUGGCCAAGCCAUCUGGCUAGAUGCCAAGGUAUAGUGGCUUUGGAAUCUGGACCCUGUCUACUCCAUCUUCUUGUAUUCAAUAUUCAUUCUGAUUUUGUGGUAAUGUAGAAACUUCUUCUUGUUCCUUGUUCCACGGAACACCCUACCCCAGGGGAAACUGAGGAAAGGGGGAGAGGAGAUGGCCCCCACACUCCUGCUGCUUCCUCUGCAAUUUUCCUUUUCCCUUCUCAACCCAGCUUUAGCCAGACGUCUGACCUCUGUACCUCAGUGGAUCCAACCACCUACCUGAUUAGAUGAGAUGAGGUGGGACAAGGACACGGAAGCCCAAAUCAGAAGAGAAAUUUCAAGAGCUUUAGAAAUGAGGACUUCAACUGUGCAGACUUGGGACUUUUCUGGCUUGAGAGGUGGUAUGCUCAGCCAUCAUUCACUCUCAAGGCACUGCAGAUGGUUGGCCCAGCAGAGGCAGACAUUACAGCUUCAGGGCUAAGUCCUUAACUCAUAUUUGCCUCUUGUACUUUGUAUUUAGCUUACGUGGAAAAUGGAUUUUGGAAUCAUUUGUUUCCUUCCUUGAAUUUGCAGGCUAAACUAAAAAACUGCAGGUCAUAUUUUGACUGGCUGGGGGAUGGGCUGGUGAGGAUGAGUGGAGGAAAUUUCAGCAGGCAAUUUGGCAGGUGAGCUGUGGCUUCUGGGGAACAUUUGUGCAAGUCUGAGCUUUGUGACAAUCCCUCAUUGCCUUUCGCCCUAAGUUUCUUUAAAUUUAUUUCUGUUGCUCCUUAGAUACACUUUAGAUAUAAAUAAUGUUUGUUCCUUCUCUCUAUAGUUCAAUAUAUCAUGAAUUCUUCCCUGGCUGACUCACCACUCUGAGGUUGACUUCUUAUCUAGUUAUCACAGAUCCACCACCUGCUCCUUUUUCCUACUUAAUUCUUUCCAUCAUUUUUCCUGCAGCUUGUAUCUUGACAUCUGUCUGGCUCAUGCUAGAAACUUCAGUCAUCCUUGGUCUGUGAUUCGUUCCACGUCCUGUCACUCACCCUCUUCCCCAACCAUUCCCAGGCUAUGUCCCUUUUUCUCCAUACUUUUGCUAGAGUCUCAUGAUCACUUACUCCCUUGACAGCAAAAGAUCCUAACUUGACCCUGAGAGUUCUGCAAGCCAGAAAUACCGUCUGUCUCACCUCUGAUAUAUCUCUGGUUUUCAUCCCACUGCUUGGAACAGAGUGACUGCUCCAGGUGUAUAAUUUGACUGAGUUAUAAGUCUUCCUUUUUCUGGGUUCAUACCCUCACUGCUCUGUUCCACAUCGUUAAUGACUCCCCAUCACCUAUAGACUAAAGCCCACACUACCAAACAUGGAUAUACAAGACUUUCAUUCAUUUGGCCAUGGAUUAACUUUACAUUGUAAUAUUAAUUUUCAUCUUCUAUCACUCUUAUACAUAAAUUCUCCAUUCCAAAUACUGAUAAUUUCUUGUUCUUCCCUAAACCGAAGGAGAGAACUGUUACCAGAAAGGAGUCUUGAUCUAGACCCCAAGAGAGGUUUCUUGGA